UUGGCCGAAGGCGAUUGGUGAGCCACCGGGAUGUGACCCCGGGGAAGAGGGUUCGAUUCCCUCCGGUCAAC
rnacentral:tRNA from 1 species